GACGAACGCUGGCGGCGUGCUUAACACAUGCAAGUCGAACGAAGUGGCGAACGGGUGAGUAACGCGUCAUCAACCUGCCCUUCAGCGUGGGACAACAGUUGGAAACGACUGCUACUCCCGCAUACUGAAGGAGGGGCUUGCGUCUGAUUAGCUAGUGGGAGGGGUAACGGACCACCAAGGCGCUGAUCAGUAGCCGGUCUGAGAGGAUGAACAGCCACAGUGGGACUGAGACACGUCCCAGACUCCGACGAGAGGCAGCAGUUGGGAAGCUUCCGAAAUGGACGAAAGUCUGACGGAGCAACGCCGCGUGAGUGAUGACGGCCUUCGGGUUGUAAAGCUCUGUUAAUCGGGACGCGGUACCGGAAGAGAAAGCCACGGCUAACUACGUGCCAGCAGCCGCGGUAAUUC
rnacentral:rRNA from 1 species